AGCUUCCUCAGCUGCAUUUCACAUCACCCAGUUAACAGCUCAAAGAAUAGAGAAGAUGCUGGUGCCAGGCCAGGCUGCCACUGAGCCCUGGAAUCAGGAUCCACACCUAUGCUCCAACUGGAACACGACAUCGCUAGAUAAACAAGUGUGACUGCCACUUGAUGCAAAGGCAAGACAGAUGAGAAAGUGUCUUGGUGGGUGAAACGGUUUAAUCCAUGCACGUGGGAAAAGCAAACUUCUUGUUCACACCUAUCUCUGCUACCAGUAAGUGACA